UCCCUGCCACAAACGACGAGAUUCCCAUGGCCUCACUCCUGACCACAGUGGGCAUGAGCUCGCCCGCAUAGACAUAAAUGACGGCAAAAGAGGCGGCAAUUUGGAACUUUCCAAUCAUAGCCAGAGUGACUGUAAUCCAAGCUCAAAAGCCACCUAGGACUCUCAGGUACAAACCACCAAUAGCUAUUGAGACAAAAAUAGUGAGAAUGAAUUUAAACCAUUGGGACAGCAUUUGUUAUCGAUGUGGUAGUAGUUACCUAAAAAGCAGCACGAACGGAACAGAAGUGACGAGGGCCAGCUCAAACCAAGAGUUGAAAAUGUACGCCAAUCCUGCCAAAACCAUGAGGGCCACGGCGAAGAAGAGACAAAUCAUCAUGCCCGCAAAAGUCCGAUAGCCUGGACCCAUGGUCUCCAGGGCUGAAACACAUGGACGCAAUUGGCACUUCAAUUUUCUUCCAAGGUAAGAAGAGCUUGACAAAUGGAUGGAGUCACACGCCAAACAACAAACUUUCAAUUUCUACUCCUGAUCGAAGUCACAACUCACUCUGGUUUCUUUACUGGACUGCUGUUACUGCAGAGGCACAGCUUGAAAACUCGUUAGUGGUCAAGAGGAGGAAGAAGGAAAGAGAAAGGAAGCCGAAUCAUCCUCCUUAACUCUUGGGUGACCUCGCCUGGUUAUCAGGGUAGUCUUCAGCCUCAGUCAGAGUCUCAUUGCAUCAGUCAGUGAUGGUAUUGUAACAAUUGGGAAGAGUUGUGGAAGUCCUAAGUGGAACGUGGACCACGCUUCAAACUGAAACCGGUUUCUUAAAAAUUGAGAGAUGUUCACCAUUCCAAAUCACAAUAUGUAAAUAGAAACAUUUGUACUUCAUUCGCCAUUUUAUGAAACUAUCAUUUGACAUUCAUUGUUAGUUUAUGAAGCAAAAUGAAAAGAAAUAUAGA